rnacentral:rRNA from 1 species
GUCGCUAGAACAGUUUGGCGAACGGUGGGGGCGAUGCUUGGCACUGACUUAUGCCCGAACAACCUGUGCCAGUUCUACUUCUGGUGUUAUGCUUUUCUUCCCCAAGGGGAACGACACUUCAUUGUGGGCUUAGCGGCUGUUUGCUGGGCUAUCUGGAACCGCAGAAACCAAGCUACUUUUGAACACAAGAAAAUGUCGUCUCCUUUUGAGAUUGUCUUCACAACUUGUGUACAUUUGAAAUACUGGGCAGGACUGUUGAAAGGCUUGGAGCGGGAAGAACUGGAUCACGGCGCGCUGCUGCGGAGGGACAACGCCAUGAGGAUGAUGAGGUUAUGCGCAUCUGCUCACACCGAGAGAAGCUCGGAAUGA